rnacentral:rRNA from 1 species
AUUGAACGCUGGCGGCAGGCCUAACACAUGCAAGUCGAGCGGAUGAAGGGAGCUUGCUCCUGGAUUCAGCGGCGGACGGGUGAGUAAUGCCUAGGAAUCUGCCUGGUAGUGGGGGAUAACGUCCGGAAACGGGCGCUAAUACCGCAUACGUCCUGAGGGAGAAAGUGGGGGAUCUUCGGACCUCACGCUAUCAGAUGAGCCUAGGUCGGAUUGACUAGUUGGUGGGUAAAGGCCUACCAAAGCGACGAUUCGUAAACGGUAUCAGAGGAUGGUCAGUCACACUGGAACUGAGACACGGCCCAGACUCCUACGGGAGGCAGCAGUCGGGAAUAUUGGACGAUGGGCGAAAGCCUGAUCCAGCCAUACCGCGUGUGUGAAGAAGGUCUUCGGAUUGUAAAGCACUGUAAGUUGGGAGGAAGGGCAGUAAGUUAAUCACUGGCUGUUUUGACGUUACCAACAGAAUAAGCACCGGCUAACUUCGUG